UUUCUAUUAUACAUGUGCUAAACAACGAUCGAUCAAGGAUAACCACUUUUCUCUAUGUAUGUUCUUUUUUAUCCUCUAUUUUAUGUAACUCAUGACAGACUAUUUCAAUGAUUAUUUAAUUUCAUAAUUGAUUUUUUUUUUUUUUUGCAUAUAUAUUCAUUCACCUUGUAAUCUUGUAUAUGCUUUUGACAUGUAUAAUAAUAUAAAUUUUUAUGUCACUUGAUCGAUGUUGAUGAUCGUAGGUUUAGCUCUUAUUAAAUACAUAAAUGUUCUAAUAAUAUGUAAUAAAUUAGAAAAUGAAUAUAUAAAGAAAAUAAUAAAGAAUACAACAUAUUAUUGAAUUGGAAAAUCUAUUGAAAAUAAAUAUAUUAUGACACGACCCACCCCGAAUUUCACCCUGAAACCCGGAGUAAGUCGUGCGGGGACCACCUCCAAGGAAAAUUUACUGAGAAGAUUUCUAAAAUCCCCCUUGCAGAUGGACAACCCUAACUCGAAAAUUUCAAAUUUACACUCUUAAUACAGCACGUCCAAACAUCACAUAAUUAUCCUUCAGAAAUUCUAAACAUAAAAUACAAUAAUCCAAAAGUAUUCAGAGCUACUAGACAUUAGCGGAAGCAAGAAAACACGAGUAGGUUAAACAUGUAACCUACUGAUGAAAACUGGCGGAAAUACGGGUGACUAUGCCUUGCCUCCUACUGGAUCCAACCCGAACUCUGCAGACUGGGCAAUUUAAAACGAAUGGCCCAGGGGAAAACAUUUAAUAACGUUAGAGUGAGUGGACAAAAAUAAAAUAAUAAAUAAAUUAUUUAUGUUUCCCCAAAUUAAUUUCUAAGGAGAAAAUCAAAUGCAUGCCGCAAGCGAUAAAACCUUUAUCUCAUAAAAUAUCAAGCCUCUCAGACUCUAAAAUAUAUGUAUGUAUUUACACUCGUUCAUACUCCCUAUAUAAAUUCAUGGGUCUAUAUAGGGCUACUACGCUCGCGUCCAACACUCACGUCACGCCUUAAUGCGGUGCUACACUACGCCAUCAAGGUGGACAGACGGGUGUAUAAAUAUGUGUCCAUACCCCCUAUAUGAAUUAAACACUCAAAUAGGGCUACUACGCUCACGUCCAACGCUCACGUCACACCAUAAUGCGGCUAUAUGCUACGCCAUUAAGGUGGACAGACACAUAUGGCUAGCUAGCAUUU
rnacentral:lncRNA from 1 species